UACGUAGGGUGCAAGCGUUGUCCGGAAUUAUUGGGCGUAAAGAGCUCGUAGGCGGUCUGUCGCGUCGGCUGUGAAAACUCGGGGCUCAACUCCGAGCUUGCAGUCGAUACGGGCAGGCUAGAGUUCGGCAGGGGAGACUGGAAUUCCGUGGUGAGCGGUGAAAUGCGCAGAUAUCAGGAGGAACACCGGUGGCGAAGGCGGGUCUCUGGGCCGAUACUGACGCUGAGGAGCGAAAGCGUGGGGAGCGAACAGG
rnacentral:rRNA from 1 species